rnacentral:rRNA from 1 species
AUUGAACGCUGGCGGCAUGCCUUACACAUGCAAGUCGAACGGCAGCACGGAGCUUGCUCUGGUGGCGAGUGGCGAACGGGUGAGUAAUAUAUCGGAACGUACCCAAGAGUGGGGGAUAACGUAGCGAAAGUUACGCUAAUACCGCAUACGAUCUAAGGGUGAAAGCAGGGGACCGCAAGGCCUUGUGCUCCUGGAGCGGCCGAUAUCUGAUUAGCUAGUUGGUGAGGUAAAGGCUCACCAAGGCAUCGAUCAGUAGCUGGUCUGAGAGGACGACCAGCCACACUGGAACUGAGACACGGUCCAGACUCCUACGGGAGGCAGCAGUGGGGAAUUUUGGACAAUGGGGGCAACCCUGAUCCAGCAAUGCCGCGUGAGUGAAGAAGGCCUUCGGGUUGUAAAGCUCUUUUGUCAGGGAAGAAACGGUCGUGGCUAAUAUCCAUGGCUAAUGACGGUACCUGAAGAAUAAGCACCGGCUAACUACGUGCCAGCCGCCGCGGUAAAAC